rnacentral:rRNA from 1 species
GUGGGUAGUUUGACUGGGGCGGUCUCCUCCCAAAGAGUAACGGAGGAGCACGAAGGUUGGCUAAUCCUGGUCGGACAUCAGGAGGUUAGUGCAAUGGCAUAAGCCAGCUUGACUGCGAGCGUGACGGCGCGAGCAGGUGCGAAAGCAGGUCAUAGUGAUCCGGUGGUUCUGAAUGGAAGGGCCAUCGCUCAACGGAUAAAAGGUACUCCGGGGAUAACAGGCUGAUACCGCCCAAGAGUUCAUAUCGACGGCGGUGUUUGGCACCUCGAUGUCGGCUCAUCACAUCCUGGGGCUGAAGUAGGUCCCAAGGGUAUGGCUGUUCGCCAUUUAAAGUGGUACGCGAGCUGGGUUUAGAACGUCGUGAGACAGUUCGGUCCCUAUCUGCCGUGGGCGCUGGAGAAUUGAGGGGGGCUGCUCCUAGUACGAGAGGACCGGAGUGGACGCAUCACUGGUGUUCGGGUUGUCAUGCCAAUGGCACUGCCCGGUAGCUAA